ACAUCCAGAGAAUUUAGCAGAGAUGCUUUAGUGCCUUCGGGAACUCUGAGACAGGUGCUGCAUGGCUGUCGUCAGCUCGUGUUGUGAAAUGUUGGGUUAAGUCCCGNAACGAGCGCAACCCUUUAUCCUUUGUUGCCAGCACGUAAUGGUGGGAACUCAAAGGAGACUGCCGGUGAUAAACCGGAGGAAGGUGGGGAUGACGUCAAGUCAUCAUGGCCCUUACGAGUAGGGCUACACACGUGCUACAAUGGCGCAUACAAAGAGAAGCGACCUCGCGAGAGCAAGCGGACCUCAUAAAGUGCGUCGUAGUCCGGAUUGGAGUCUGCAACUCGACUCCAUGAAGUCGGAAUCGCUAGUAAUCGUAAAUCAGAAUGUUACGGUGAAUACGUUCCCGGGCCUUGUACACACCGCCCGUCACACCAUGGGAGUGGGUUGCAAAAGAAGUAGAUAGCUUAACCUUCGGGAGGGCGUUUACCACUUUGUGAUUCAUGACUGGGGUGAAGUCGUAACAAGGUAAGCGUAGUGCU
rnacentral:rRNA from 1 species